UACGUAGGGUGCGAGCGUUAAUCGGAAUUACUGGGCGUAAAGCGUGCGCAGGCGGUUCGUUGUGUCGGCGGUGAAAGCCCCGGGCUCAACCUGGGAAUGGCCGUUGAAACUGGCGAACUGGAGUGUGGCAGAGGGGGGUGGAAUUCCGCGUGUAGCAGUGAAAUGCGUAGAGAUGCGGAGGAACACCGAUGGCGAAGGCAGCGCCCUGGGCUGACACUGACGCUCAGGCACGAAAGCGUGGGGAGCAAACAGG
rnacentral:rRNA from 1 species